CCCACCUGAAUUAGAAUCUCAAUGAACGACAAAUAAUUGUUUUAGUCUGAAUAUGUCCCAUGCAAUAUUUGGGACAUACUUAGACUAGAAAAAUUAUUCAUUCAGCUGAAACUCAAAUUUAA
rnacentral:miRNA from 1 species